rnacentral:lncRNA from 1 species
CCCUGUAAAGCCACGUCAUACCUGAUCCGAAUUGCCCCACGGAAGCCUUCCUCCGUUUAUAUAACCCACCGGAGAAGCGAGCGCUGCUUGGCUACCCCGAUGGAGUCGCCAGAGCCAUCGUCCCGCCUCGCUCGCUGCAUGGCCUCCCCGUCGUGGUUCCCGCUGCAGCGCGGCCACUCGCGGUUCCACCUCCUCCGCCGCGCCGUCGGCCUCGAGCGGAGCCGCAGCUGGCGCGAUCUCCUCAAGCGGUUGCUGAAGGAAGGCAGGAGCAUGUACGGGUCCAAGCAGCUCAAUUUCGGUUACGACGCCGACAGCUACUCCAAGAACUUCGAUGACGGCCGCUGGAACGAGCGAUCUGAUAGGUUCGUCGAGGACCGGCUGUGGCAGCUCAAGGCUCGUUAGAGAGCUUGUAGUUGCAUUGUCUUCCUUGUGCUGCUACCGCUGCUUCUUGUUCUUUUUGUUCUCCUUGCCUUCAAUGAAACUUUCGGAUACUUUGUUGUGAAUAGUCACAGAAUCCUGUGUGUAAUCUCUGGAUGAGCAAAUGUGAAGCAGAAAAGAGAGAAUGUAACCAGAAAACAGAGGUGUUUUUAUGUUUCAUACACAGUUCACCUGAUGAUAGUUGGAUAUUGGCAGUGACAUCAUCCUGCAGGCUGAUUCUCGGAUGAACAGUGUGAGGUAGAAGAGGGAAUAUGAGCGGGAAAAAUACAGCUACAAGCGUCCACAGUCUCGGUUUGUUCUUUAGCAAUCAUAAGGUAUGGCAGAAGACGCUGCAUAUAAUCCAAAUGACAGCAAAGAGAGGAGGAGCACAGCAUCCCUACCAGUUUCCUGCAUCGAUCUCUAUGUAACAAGAAAAAUGGACCAACCACUAUACAUGAAAGCAACGUAGAUGGAUUAGGCCAACAAGCGAGGAAUAUAGACGCACCUUGGUGUUCUUUAUACGCAUCUGUGCUCGCGUUUACAAGCUUUGAC